AGUCUUAUAUUCAUGUUUGUGAUAAUAGAAUGCAAUUCUGGUGGGAUGGUUAUUAGACGGCCAUUAAGGCUU
rnacentral:tRNA from 1 species